rnacentral:tRNA from 1 species
GGGACAGUAGCUCAGUGGUAGAGUGCUUGCCUUGCAUGCAUAAGGCCCUGGGUUCGAUUCCUCAGCACCA